UACGUAGGUGGCAAGCGUUGUCCGGAUUUACUGGGCGUAAAGAGCGCGCAGGCGGUCGUGCAAGUCGCGUGUGAAAGCCCCUGGCUCAACUGGGGAGGGUCACGCGAUACUGCUCGACUCGAAGGCAGGAGAGGGAAGUGGAAUUCCCGGUGUAGUGGUGAAAUGCGUAGAUAUCGGGAGGAACACCAGUGGCGAAGGCGACUUCCUGGCCUGUUCUUGACGCUGAGGCGCGAAAGCUAGGGUAGCAAACGGG
rnacentral:rRNA from 1 species